GGAUUAGAUACCCUGGUAGUCCACGCCCUAAACGAUGAGAACUAGCCGUUGGGGGUAUUAAAAACCUUUAGUGGCGCAGCUAACGCGAUAAGUUCUCCGCCUGGGGAGUACGGCCGCAAGGCUAAAACUCAAAGGAAUUGACGGGGGCCCGCACAAGCGGUGGAGCAUGUGGUUUAAUUCGAUGCAACGCGAAGAACCUUACCUGCCCUUGACAUCCACGGAAUCUUCUAGAGAUAGAUGAGUGCCUUCGGGAACCGUGAGACAGGUGCUGCAUGGCUGUCGUCAGCUCGUGUUG
rnacentral:rRNA from 1 species